rnacentral:rRNA from 1 species
GACAGAAGGGACAAGCGUUAUUCAUAUUUACUGGGCGUCAAGGGUAUGUAGGUAGUCAUAGGUGUUUUAUGCUAAAGUCUAUGGAUUACGCCCAUAAGUCCGCAUAUUUUACACGUUGACUUGAGUUUGGUUAAGGUUCGGAGUACUCUCUGUGUAGUACUGAAAUGCGAAAAUAUAGAGAUGACUGCCAAUGAUGAAGAUACCGUUCUUAAUUUGACUGACACUGAGGUACGGAAGUAUGGGUAUCGAACGGG